CGGGUUGAAGCGAUUCUCCUGCCUCAGCUGCUGAGUAGCUGGGAUUACAGGUGUGGCAUCUGGCAUGAAACCAAGGACAAGACACUCAGUUGAGCUUUGUGAAAGAGUGACAGAUGAUGGAUAGAGUCAUGGGCCUGCCUCUUAUGGAGCUAAGAAAUGAAAUCUGGAUACGGAGGCCUGAGUACCUCAGAGAAGCCAAGGUUCCUGCAGGAACCUCGUGCCUGCUGUCCACGUUGGGCUUCAUUUUAUCAAAAUACAGCAAAGAGCUCAUCAUUUCUCAGCUCCUGUCGGAAGCAACAGUGGCUGUUCCUGGACACAGAGCUGCAGACAAGGAGUGCCAACACUUCCUGGAGAUGAAACACAACUUCAAUACAGAGAUAGCAAGUUCACACUCUGGCAGUCAUGCAAGGAUGAGUGAUGCGGGCCUUUUCUAAGUGAGUAUGAACGGGUGGGACCUACGGUAAAUUCAAUGCAGUAUAAUCCGUCUACGGGGCAGUGGGCACCCAGCAACAGCCAACUGUUACCAAAUCAAAGUGCAGGCCCAGGAUGACUCAUCUUCCAGCAUUUCAUGAGCAACCAGAAGUCUACAUUUCUUUGAGAAAAAAAAUUUUUUUGAGACGAGGUCUUACUCUGUUGCCCAGGCUGGAGUGUGUAGCUUCUACCUCCCGGGGCUUAGGUGAUUCUCCCACCUCAAGUCUCCCAAGUAGCUGAGACUGCAGGCAUGUGCCACCACGCUGGCUAAUUUUUUUUUUUUUUUUGAGUCGGAGUCUCGCUCUGUCCCCCAGGCUGGAGCGCAGUGGCGCGAUCUCGGCUAACUGCGAGCUCCGCCUCCCGGGGUUCGUGCCAUUCUCCUGCUUCAGCCUCCCAAGUAGCUGGGACUACAGGCGCCCGCCACCACGCCCGGCUAAUUUUUUUGUAUUUUGUAGUAGAAACGGGGUUUCACCAUGUUAGCCAGGAUGGUCUCGAUCUCCUGACCUCGUGAUCCUCCCGCCUCGGCCUCCCAAAGUGCUGGGAUUACAGGCGUGAGCCACCGCUCCCGCCCCAUGCCAGCUAAUUUUUUUGUAGAGACAGGGCUUCGCCAUGUUGUCCAGGCUGGUCUCCAACCCCUAGGCUCCCCGCCUUGCCCUCCCAAAAUGUGGAGAUUACAGGUGUGAGCCACAAUGCCUGGCCAUUUUGAGGAAUUUUUAAACACUGGCUUUAAUUUUUCAAAGUAUCUGGAGCAACUUCUGCUUCUGAGAGAUAGAGUAGAUAUUCUUUUCCCCAGUCCUCCUGCUAAGUACAGCUAAAAACCCCAAAAACACUCUAUAUUAUACAAAAUGAACAUAAGAUGACUCUGAACAAGAAGAAAGCAGAUUGGUUAGGGACCUCCAGAUCCAAGGAAUGACUCAGCAGUGACCUCCCUAAGUUUUCUUUUUGCCUCAUAUAUGUCAGAAUGGGUACUGGAGAAGCCAGCAACCCAAAACUGCCAACGAUUGCAGACAAAAGCCCCAAGAAAAGCUUGUCUUUUUUUUUUUUUUUUUUUUGAAAGAGUGUCUUGCUCUAUCGCCCAGGCUGGAGUGCAGUGGUGCAAUCAUGGCUCACUGCAGCCUUGAUCUCCCAGGCUUAAGCUGCUUAGACUACAGAUCUGCGCCACCAUGCCUGACUAAUCAAUACAGUUGUUUUUUUUUUUUGAAACGGAGUUUCACUCUUGUUGCCCAGGCUGGAGUGCACUGGCGCGAUCUCAGCUCACUGCUGCAACCUCUGCCUCCUGGGCUCAAGCAGUUCUCCUGCCUCACCUCCUGAGUAGCUGGGAUUACAGGCAUGCACCAUCACGCCCUGCUAUUUUUUGUAUUUUUAGAAGUAGAGAUGGGGUUUCACCAUGUUGGUCAGGCUGGUCUCAAACUCCUGAUCUCAGGUGAUCCGCCCGACUCGGCCUCCCAAAGUGCUGGGAUUACAGGCAUGAGCCAUCGUGCCCGGCCUUUUUGUUUUUUUUGUUUGUUUGUUUGUUAUGUUUUUUUGUAGAGAUGGGGGUCUCACUGUUUCCCAGGCUGAUCUCAAAUUCCUGGGCUCAAGCAAUCCUCUGGCCUCAGCCUCCCAAAGUGCUGGAAUUAUAAGCGUGAACCAUGGUGUCCUGCAAGUCUGCUUUCUGAGUCAAAGGACAAGAAAAUAAACAGCCUAGAAAGACA
rnacentral:lncRNA from 1 species